ensembl:lncRNA
UAAAGAAGACUGUUCUCCGUGCAGGAAUAUUGGGCAAAGAUAUACAGAAGUUUGCCGUGCUCUGCUGCAGGGUCACAUGAAUGAUCAAAGACACAGCAGGGCGGCAUUCCCACCGGAGUCUACUGACCGCAGGCUGAGUGAUGGAAAGCAACAAACGUGAUGAAUACAGCCCCUAAAGAUGUAAUGGAUGCAAACUGAAACCACAUUGUUGCCAUGGAACCAGCAACUUGCUCCUUCCCCGUGUGCCGGUCCGAUUGUCUGCCCUGGCCCUGAUUGUUUCCACCUGUGCCCCUAUUUUCUAGAUCCUUUUUGUUCUUAGAUAUAGCACAGGGUCUUUUCCUA